GUAAUAGUUAUGUUCUUGAAACUUAAAAAAUUUGGCGGUAUUUUAGUCUAUUCAGAGGAACUUGUCCUAUAAUUGAUAAUCCACGUUGGACCUUACUUAAGUUUGUAAUCAGUUUAUAUACCGUCGUUAGCAGAAUAUUUUAAAAGAAUAAUAAUUUUCUUAAAUUUAUAAAUAGUUUUAUUUCAGAUCAAGGUGUAGCUAAUAUUUAAGUAGAGAUGAGUUACAUUAAAUGUAUUUAUAUGGAGAUAGUUAUGAAAAAAUUAUUGAAAGUGGAUUUGGAAGUAAAUUUAUAAAGAU
rnacentral:rRNA from 1 species